rnacentral:rRNA from 1 species
CAUUACCGAGUUUACAACUCCCAAACCCAAUGUGAACCAUACCAAACUGUUGCCUCGGCGGGGUCACGCCCCGGGUGCGUCGCAGCCCCGGAACCAGGCGCCCGCCGGAGGGACCAACCAAACUCUUUCUGUAGUCCCCUCGCGGACGUUAUUUCUUACAGCUCUGAGCAAAAAUUCAAAAUGAAUCAAAACUUUCAACAACGGAUCUCUUGGUUCUGGCAUCGAUGAAGAACGCAGCGAAAUGCGAUAAGCAAUGUGAAUUGCAGAAUUCAGUGAAUCAUCGAAUCUUUGAACGCACAUUGCGCCCGCCAGUAUUCUGGCGGGCAUGCCUGUCCGAGCGUCAUUUCAACCCUCGAACCCCUCCGGGGGGUCGGCGUUGGGGAUCGGGAACCCCUAAGACGGGAUCCCGGCCCCGAAAUACAGUGGCGGUCUCGCCGCAGCCUCUCCUGCGCAGUAGUUUGCACAACUCGCACCGGGAGCGCGGCGCGUCCACGUCCGUAAAACACCCAACUUCUGAAAUGUUGACCUCGGAUCAGGUAGGAAUACCCGCUGAACUUAA